UAUGUAAUUGGUUGUGUGCUUUUGUAACAGCUAGCAUGUAUAUAAACAGCCCAGGUGUUGUUGUUGAAAAGAAGGGUGCUAUUGAAAAGUGCCGAUUACCUGCAGGUAGAGGGUUAUCUCACUCAUAGAUUGAAACAGGAAACAAACAUGGUCUGACUACUGAUAAAAGCUAGCAUCUACGUGGUGAGGAAGAUCCGGGCUUCUAUUGCUGAGGGAGAGCAACUAGAAAAGCCCAUUAUAACACCAUGUAGUGCUAUUGCUGAAAGGAGAGCGGGACAUGAGUUGAGGGGAAGCACCCAAGAGGCCGCACUGACGUCAGGACCUGAUGAGGGUGUCGGUGGGGCAGCAGGCUCGGGGACGUCCUCGGACGUCCUCGGAGACGGCUGUGCAGAAAUGUGGCUCCUGACGUUAAAGAUCAUGCUGGACACUGGGACUGUGGUCAACUCACUGGAAAAUCAUAAUUUGUCAUCUUUGUACUUUUGCAAUGCAAAGCAGUAGUACACUGUUAUGAAUGUUCUCUUGUGCCUACAUAAUCAUACACUCACAGAAUUUUCAUUUUUGUCCAAGCAGAAGUGAGCAAAAAUGCUAUUUGGACUACGGUUAUUCCAGUUGUUAUCUCAGUCAGUGUCCAGCUCCUGAUGACAUACAUUUAGGCCUUUUUCACACCAGACAGUUUGACUUAAAGCCUCAGCAAAAUUCACAGAUGCAGCUAAUAACAUCAAUGAUGACUAUUUCUCAUUUAGUUCAGGGUUCUGCAACAGCACCUUAUUAAAUUUAUUUGGUUAGUCAACAUACUACCUGUGAGAAAGGCCUAUUUAUAUACUGCAGUGUUUGAAGGCUGACUCACCAACCUCUCUCCAGGGGCUGAGCAGGCCUGAUGUUCCUACUGUUGUAUCAAUAAAUGGAAAAAAGUU